ensembl:lncRNA
CUGCCAGUGAUGGACUGUUUAAGAGGACAAAAAAGGAAUAAAGAAGGCCUGAACAAAGAAUAGUGAAAAAGCUCUUUGAGGAAUGAGGAUUUUCCUGCAUUGAUUUGAGUCCCAGUGCUUCUCUGACAUGUUUGGAUUGCCUGCUCUUUUCUUCCCUGUAAAUCAACUAAUUUUCUGUGCUGGGAGUAGAUGUGAAAGUUUAUGUCAAUUUUGGCAGUUAUAAUCUAACAGAUUAAACAAAAUGUACAAAACUUUCCAAUCUGGAGGUUGAUAAAGUAAGAUUCUUUGAGAAUAAUCAGCAGCCGCCCACUGCCUGCAAGGAUCAACUGGAGUGCUAUGGUUGAAAGGAAGGGGACACAAUAGACACCCCGCUACCUCAACCCUCUCUUUUAUCCUCUCCAUCUAACACACAUGGGCACACUGCCAACUCGGAAUCUUAAGAACUCUCAUUCAAAGAAACCCCCUAAAAUAAGGACUUGUUAAAAGCCAGGACACAUUCUCUCUCCCAGUCCUUGUGCUUUUCCCCUUUCAUUUCCCCGUGUGAAGAGGGAUUUUUGCUUGAUUAUUCUCCAUCAUGGCAACUGGGGUUCCUAAAAUUGCCAUUCCAGCAGCAUUUCGUCAGAUUUGUGAAUUUUAUCAGGCUGAGGGGAUGCCAUAGCCUACUCGCUCCAGUGAGGACACAGCCAGAAGAUGAGGAAAUGGAGAGAUGGCCAGCUUGAAUGACCUGAAUAAAGUGAACAGGGGACGUGUCUGACUGGUACAGACCAACAAAGAGAAGGGGAGAGUUAAUAGUGAUUGAGUUAAAGGCCCAAUGUAGUCAAAAACAUGAUUUCCCUGUGUUUUAUAUAUAUUUCCACACUAUGAAAUUGUGAAAAUUAUGAUAAUGCCAUUUUAGUGUCAGGACAUUUAGAAAAUAGAGCCUGAAAUUUCAGCCUGUUCUUGUGGCCUUUCUAGUGACAUCAGCAGGCGGUGAAUUAGUUCAUAGACCAAAAAGAAACAGAGUUUCAAACCUCUCUGUCAAAAACAGCUAGUGUUCAGUUUCCCCCUCCCCACUCCCAGAGAGUCC